GGAUCCAGACUUUGAUUAUGGCUCAGGACGAACGCUGGCGGCGCGCCUAACACAUGCAAGUCGAGCGGGAAGCUUUUUAAGGAUUCUUCGGAUGAAUUAAAAAGUGGAGAGCGGCGGACGGGUGAGUAACGCGUGAGAAACCUGCCCUAUACAGGGGGAUAGCCAUUGGAAACGAUGAUUAAUACCCCAUAUGACCACGGUAUCGCAUGAUACAGCGGUGAAAACUCCGGUGGUAUAGGAUGGUCUCGCGUCUGAUUAGCUAGUUGGUGGGGUAACGGCCUACCAAGGCGACGAUCAGUAGCCGGCCUGAGAGGGUGACCGGCCACACUGGAACUGAGACACGGUCCAGACUCCUACGGGAGGCAGCAGUGGGGAAUAUUGCACAAUGGGCGAAAGCCUGAUGCAGCGACGCCGCGUGAACGAUGAAGGCUUUCGAGUCGUAAAGUUCUGUUCUUGGGGAAGAUAACGACGGUACCCAAGGAGAAAGCACCGGCUAAAUACGUGCCAGCAGCCGCGGUAAU
rnacentral:rRNA from 1 species